rnacentral:rRNA from 1 species
CAACAGGGAUUGCCUUAGUAACGGCGAGUGAAGCGGCAAAAGCUCAAAUUUGAAAUCUGGCACCUUCGGUGUCCGAGUUGUAAUUUGAAGAAGGUAACUUUGGAGUUGGCUCUUGUCUAUGUUCCUUGGAACAGGACGUCACAGAGGGUGAGAAUCCCGUGCGAUGAGAUGCCCAAUUCUAUGUAAAGUGCUUUCGAAGAGUCGAGUUGUUUGGGAAUGCAGCUCUAAGUGGGUGGUAAAUUCCAUCUAAAGCUAAAUAUUGGCGAGAGACCGAUAGCGAACAAGUACAGUGAUGGAAAGAUGAAAAGAACUUUGAAAAGAGAGUGAAAAAGUACGUGAAAUUGUUGAAAGGGAAGGGCUUGAGAUCAGACUUGGUAUUUUGCGAUCCUUUCCUUCUUGGUUGGGUUCCUCGCAGCUUACUGGGCCAGCAUCGGUUUGGAUGGUAGGAUAAUGACUAAGGAAUGUGGCUCUACUUCGGUGGAGUGUUAUAGCCUUGGUUGAUACUGCCU